UACGGAGGGGACUAGCGUUGUUCGGAAUUACUGGGCGUAAAGCGUACGUAGGCGGCUUUGUAAGUUAGAGGUGAAAGCCCAGAGCUCAACUCUGGAAUUGCCUUUAAGACUGCAUCGCUUGAAUCGUGGAGAGGUUAGUGGAAUUCCGAGUGUAGAGGUGAAAUUCGUAGAUAUUCGGAAGAACACCAGUGGCGAAGGCGGCUCACUGGCCCGGUACUGACGCUGAGGUGCGAAAGCGUGGGGAGCAAACAGG
rnacentral:rRNA from 1 species